UACGUAGGGGGCAAGCGUUAUCCGGAUUUACUGGGUGUAAAGGGAGCGCAGACGGCAGUGCAAGUCAGAUGUGAAAGCCCGGGGCUCAACCCCGGGACUGCAUUUGAAACUGUCAGGCUGGAGUGCAGGAGAGGUAAGUGGAAUUCCUAGUGUAGCGGUGAAAUGCGUAGAUAUUAGGAGGAACACCAGUGGCGAAGGCGGCUUACUGGACUGUAACUGACGUUGAGGCUCGAAAGCGUGGGGAGCAAACAGG
rnacentral:rRNA from 1 species